rnacentral:rRNA from 1 species
AUAAUGGGUCAGCGACUUAUAUUCUGUAGCAAGGUUAACCGAAUAGGGGAGCCGAAGGGAAACCGAGUCUUAACUGGGCGUUAAGUUGCAGGGUAUAGACCCGAAACCCGGUGAUCUAGCCAUGGGCAGGUUGAAGGUUGGGUAACACUAACUGGAGGACCGAACCGACUAAUGUUGAAAAAUUAGCGGAUGACUUGUGGCUGGGGGUGAAAGGCCAAUCAAACCGGGAGAUAGCUGGUUCUCCCCGAAAGCUAUUUAGGUAGCGCCUCGUGAAUUCAUCUCCGGGGGUAGAGCACUGUUUCGGCAAGGGGGUCAUCCCGACUUACCAACCCGAUGCAAACUGCGAAUACCGGAGAAUGUUAUCACGGGAGACACACGGCGGGUGCUAACGUCCGUCGUGAAGAGGGAAACAACCCAGACCGCCAGCUAAGGUCCCAAAGUCAUGGUUAAGUGGGAAACGAUGUGGGAAGGCCCAGACAGCCAGGAUGUUGGCUUAGAAGCAGCCAUCAUUUAAAGAAAGCGUAAUAGCUCACUGGUCGAGUCGGCCUGCGCGGAAGAUGUAACGGGGCUAAACCAUGCACCGAAGCUGCGGCAGCGACACUAUGUGUUGUUGGGUAG